CAAUAGCGUAUAUUAAAGUUGUUGCAGUUAAAAAGCUCGUAGUUGGAUUUCGGGGCAGCCUGGCUGGUCCGCCGCAAGGCGAGUACUGGUCAGCCGCCCUUCCUCUCGAAAGCCCCGACUGCUCUUCGUUGCAGUUGUCGGGUAGUUCGGGACGUUUACUUUGAAAAAAUUAGAGUGUUCAAGGCAGGCCUACGCCUGAAUACAUUAGCAUGGAAUAAUGGAAGAGGACCUCGGUCCUAUUUUGUUGGUUUCCAGGGCCGAAGUAAUGAUUAAGAGGGACAGUUGGGGGCAUUCGUAUUUAAUUGUCAGAGGUGAAAUUCUCGGAUUUAUGAAAGACGAACAACUGCGAAAGCAUUUGCCAAGGAUGUUUUCAUUAA
rnacentral:rRNA from 1 species